rnacentral:ncRNA from 1 species
AGAUGUGGCCAUAGAGCGUGCCACGUGAAAAAAAGAAAGCUCAAAUGA